UUUGUUUUAGUAUAUAUAUUACGCUAGCUUUUCGUGCUGGAGAUAGUCUUUAGACUAAACAAAU
rnacentral:tRNA from 1 species